GCAUAACGAAUAAACAGUGCAUUGCUUAUUCAUGAUCAUGAAGUACUGUUUUCAAGGCUGCAGUGUUUGUCUUAUGUGAAAACAUUAAUACUGAUCAUGGAUGUUGUUGUAACAUUACUUUCAGGUUUUCAUGCUUUCAUACUUGGAUCGAAACAUGCCUGUAAGGCACAGAAUCAAAGAAUGAGCGAAGUCCAGGGCAGAAGAAGGGGAGAGAGUAACCUAUACCAGAGGGAACAAAAUACCACUGCAAUCUUGUCAGUUGUCUUCACGGAGGACCAUUCACUGGUUUGUUUAAAUGUGGGGUAUUUCAUAUUCUAAGUUAAGUCUGCUGAUAUGUGCCAUUCUCCAAUGAGUGGGUUAUUGGCCCAUCUGCCAGGCUGAUUCAUGUUUUGCUACCAAGAGUCAUGAAAAUAAGAACAACAUACAGUUGCUCAUUAUGCAUGAACAUAACCAGAUUGACGAGCAGACAUCUGACAUAAUGCAUGCUGGAUAUAGUGACAGGCCUGUGUCAUCUGUUAUGGACAGGGGCCACUGCUCCACCGGAGGGAGAGUUUUUAUAUGUCUGAAAUGAAUUAUUGGGAAUAUAUUAGUUUUUUUCCAAUGGAAUCCUUCAGUUUUCACAAUUUUGAUGUAAAACAUGAAUGUAUAAAUUCAUAUAUAAUCUUCCAUGACCGUCAAAUUAUUUUAUACAUCCUAUUAUUAUUUUAUCUUUUUUUCCAGAAUAUGAUCAUGUUUUUUUUUUUAAUCUGAAACAUGCUGCAACUUGUAUCUAAAGUAGGGCUGCACAAUAUUGGAAAAAUCUAACACUGCAAUAUUUUUUUAUUUUGUGAU
rnacentral:lncRNA from 1 species